GUCGACUACCAGGCUGCGUUAGGAGCUACCGUCUUCAGCUUUUUCUCGCUGCUGAGAGCUGUUUUGUUACUCAGUAAAACUCUUCUCCACCGUGCUCACCCUUCAGUUGACCGUGCAACUUCAUUCUUCCUGGACAUAAACCCGGGACCCACAGAACAGCGGGUGCAAAAAGGGCUGUAACGCUUUCCUGGCCGGAUCGCCAAGCUGCAGGUAAGAUGUGCCUGCUUCACCUACUGGCGUGAAUGUAAACUUUCUGAGACCUUCCCAGCCAUGUGGAACUGUCACAUUUCAUUUCAUUUUUAGUGACUCUGCAAUGACCAUGGACAUUAUUUUUUAAUUGUUAAGCAUAUAAACAAACAUGCACACUAACACCCAGGAUGGAUAUAUCUAAGUUUGCUCAUCAGACCGAAAGUUUUCCAAUCUGGCAUGCUCCAGACUGCCAAGUGACAAAUAACAAAAGAAGCUAUGAGACCUGGGAAGAAGCCUGUGCAAAUGAGGAAUCUUGGAGCUAAAUCUCUACUAGCUUAGUGGAAGUCCCUUCUGCUUACAAAUGGAGUGCGUAUUUUUUCCUUUUGCUUUGUUUUUACAC
rnacentral:lncRNA from 1 species